rnacentral:rRNA from 1 species
UACGUAGGUCCCGAGCGUUGUCCGGAUUUAUUGGGCGUAAAGCGAGCGCAGGUGGUUUAUUAAGUCUGGUGUAAAAGGCAGUGGCUCAACCUGUGGCCUGCAUUUGAAACUGUUUUUCUUGAGUGCUGGAGAGGCAAUCGGAAUUCCGUGUGUAGCGGUGAAAUGCGUAGAUAUACGGAGGAACACCAGUGGCGAAGGCGGAUUGCUGGACAGUAACUGACGCUGAGGCGCGAAAGCGUGGGGAGCAAACAGG